GAGUUUGAUCGUGGCUCAGAACGAACGCUGGCGGCAGGCCUAACACAUGCAAGUCGAACGCUCUCUUCGGAGAGAGUGGCGCACGGGUGAGUAACGCGUGGGAAUCUACCCUUUGGUUCGGAAUAACCCUGGGAAACUAGGGCUAACACCGGAUAAGCCCCGCGAGGGGGAAAGUUUACGCCGAAGGAGGAGCCCGCGUCCGAUUAGCUAGUUGGUGAGGUAAGAGCUUACCAAGGCGACGAUCGGUAGCUGGUCUGAGAGGACGAUCAGCCACACUGGGACUGAGACACGGCCCAGACUCCUACGGGAGGCAGCAGUGGGGAAUAUUGGACAAUGGGCGCAAGCCUGAUCCAGCCAUGCCGCGUGAGUGAUGAAGGCC
rnacentral:rRNA from 1 species